rnacentral:rRNA from 1 species
AGUGAACGCUGGCGGUAGGCCUAACACAUGCAAGUCGAACGGCAGCACAGUAAGAGCUUGCUCUUACGGGUGGCGAGUGGCGGACGGGUGAGGAAUACAUCGGAAUCUACUUUUUCGUGGGGGAUAACGUAGGGAAACUUACGCUAAUACCGCAUACGACCUACGGGUGAAAGCAGGGGAUCUUCGGACCUUGCGCGAUUGAAUGAGCCGAUGUCGGAUUAGCUAGUUGGCGGGGUAAAGGCCCACCAAGGCGACGAUCCGUAGCUGGUCUGAGAGGAUGAAUAGCCACAACUGAACUGAGAAAAGGGCCCAGAUCCUAAGGGAGGCAGCAGUGGGGAAUAUUGGACAAUGGGCGCAAGCCUGAUCCAGCCAUACCGCGUGGGUGAAGAAGGCCUUCGGGUUGUAAAGCCCUUUUGUUGGGAAAGAAAAGCAGCAGGUUAAUACCCCGCUGUUCUGACGGUACCCAAAGAAUAAGCACCGGCUAACUUCGUG